CCUUUGACGUUAGCGGCGGACGGGUGAGUAACACGUGGGUAACCUACCUAUAAGACUGGGAUAACUUCGGGAAACCGGAGCUAAUACCGGAUAAUAUUUCGAACCGCAUGGUUCGAUAGUGAAAGGUGGUUUUGCUAUCACUUAUAGAUGGACCCGCGCCGUAUUAGCUAGUUGGUAAGGUAACGGCUUACCAAGGCGACGAUACGUAGCCGACCUGAGAGGGUGAUCGGCCACACUGUAACUGAGACACGGUCCAGACUCCUACGGGAGGCAGCAGGC
rnacentral:rRNA from 1 species